rnacentral:tRNA from 2 species
GGUGGGAUGGCAGAGCGGUAAUGCAGCGCCCUAAGAAAGCGUAGACCGGAAACGGUUCGUGGGUUCGAGUCCCACUCCCUUUU